CUUAUACUCCCUCCGUCCCAAAAUUCUUGUCUUAGUUUUGUCUAGAAAUGGAUGUAUCUAAAUACUAAUACAUGACUAGAUACAUUUAUAUCUAGAAAAAUCAAAGACAAUAACUUUAGGACGGAGGGAGUAUCUU
rfam:Hordeum vulgare subsp. vulgare, WGS project CAJW01000000 data, contig: morex_contig_2550710